CGGUCCUCCAAACCACUGAGACACUUCCUAGAGCGACCCCAGCCGAGGCGCCACCCGGAAGUUCAGGCUCCCGGAGAGGCCUGAAGUGUGCUUUCCGUAACUCCCGCUUUACUUCUCGUACCCUGAGGCUGUCCUCAGGUGGCUGUCCUUUGACAGAAAAGGUGAACGGGGCUCAGUGGCUGUGGCACGCAGGUUUGCAGGGCUGCGUGUCGGGGAUAGCCCCCGAAGUGCCUGCAGAGACCAGCCCCGGGCCUGGCCCUGGCUGCCGGGCGGGAUGGAGGACCCUGGUUGAUACAUCGCUAUGGAUAAAACCAAAAGAGGCUGUCACGAGAUCAUCCUCGGGUGCAGGGUGCGUGGGUGCCCAGAGAUGAAGCUGCAAGGCCAGUGCGCCCGAGAAGUAGAAGAAAGGUAGCAGAAGAUUGGAAGAGCGCCAAGCGAAGUCCUGGUCAGGAGGGGCCCAGAGCCCAGAUUCCGGACCACAGCUAAAUUGAGUCUCCUCGACCUUCGAUGUCCCUGCCCUUUCAUGCCAGAGUUGGAGAGUGUUUUGUUUUUCUUUGAAUAUUCCCAUCUACAGGUCCGAAACCAAUAUGCUUGUGUGGUUUAAGCCCCCUAUAGUAUCAUUUAAUAAAACCAUUCCCUGAGGUUUCCCUCUCAGACUA